GGCCCAGAGUGUCAGCUACUGAUUGCCACCUUAUGGACCGGGACCCUGCUCUCCUGCCUGACUGGGCCCGUCCCGCUGCCGAGCUGGAGAAAGCCCGUGGGCCCCAGGCAAUGGUACCAUUUCCCAUUCUGUGGGGCUGGGUGCUCAUGGCCACCGUGAUAACAGAUGCCUCAGCAAGCUUGGUGGAGCAAAGGCCCAGGUGGGUCCUGGUACCUCGUGGACAAGCUAAAACCCUGCAGUGCAUCCUGAGGGAUUCCCAGUACCCCUGGAUGAGCUGGUACCAACAGGAUCUCCAGGGACAACUACAGCUGCUGGCCACCCUGCGGAAUACCGGGGAUAAGGAGCUCGUAUCCCAUCCUGGAGCAGAUUACCAGGUGACACGGGUCGAUAACACGGAGCUGAGGCUGCAGGUGGCCAACGUGACCCAGGGCAGAACCCUGUACUGCACCUGCAGCAAAGACACAGUGAGACACCCUCCUUGGACAAAUGAAUAAAAACCAUCCCUGAUUGGCAACCACAGACCCAACCUCCUCCCCCGCCCCGACAGCCCCCGUAAGCCUGCUUCCUCUCCCCCCAGAUCCUCCCUUGUCGCCUCUUUUCUAUAAACGGGCUCUUUUUUUCCCCCAGUUUAUUUAUUUUUGAGAGAGAACGUGUGAGAAAGAGGCUGUGCACCAGGGGGAGCAGGAAAGGGGUAGAGAGAGGAAGAGAAAGAGAGAGAGGCAGAGAGAGAAUCCCAAGCAGGCUCCAAGCUGCCAACGCAGAGCCGGACCCGGGACUCCAUCUUGCAAACCGUGAGAUCAUGACCUGGGCCGAAAUCAGGAGUCGCACAGCCAACCGACUGUGCCCCUCUGUAGACUCUUCCUGCUGCUUUUCCACUGCCCUUUUGGUGAACACUCCGCCUGAGUAGCACGGCGAUUUGACCACAGGCUCCGAAGGGCUCCGUUGCAGACCACUCUGCCACUUGGGAGCUUUGGGAGAAACUUGGUUUCUGUGCCUAUAAAGUACAGACAGUAACUCCGCCCAGCUCAGAGCUUGCUGUGAGGAUCGAACGGCACGAUUCUUCACAAUAUGCCUACAUAAGUAGCCAAUGCAUUUUAAUACCAGAGGAGUGCUGGAAAGAAAUCUGGAGAAAUUCUGGGAGCUCAGAAAGGAGGAAGAAUGCGUUUCUCAAUAGGUAGCCCCUUCAUCCACACCCCUAGAAUAAACACCCGCUUUUCCAAUUAGAUCCCCACAUGCAGCACUCACCACCACCUAAACAUCUCACACCCCAAUCUCAAGUUGAUCUCUUUUGAAGUAAAAUCCUCCAGAGAGGGCCUGACCUGGGAAGGACCAGGGUCUGGAGCCACAGCAGAGGGCUCACCAAACGUUGACUAAAAAACCAUGGCUCAGAACUGGGUUUGCAAACUGAGCAAGGUCAUACAAGGAGUGAGGGCCACACAAGGAGCCUAGGGCCCCAGGCAAAUGGACCAGAACCAGCAGGCCGGUGCAGGGCCUGGAGAGAGGCCCCGGUCCUGGGUGCCCUGCAGAGACGGUAGGCCGAGAGGCUGCUACUCUACUCCGCCGCGAGCUCGGAACAUCUCUAUCCCAGAGGGUGUGGACCAGACGAGCAGGGAAAUGGGUGCUCAACAGUGAUGUCACGCAGGUAAUCGGCAUACAGCUAGGACUCAAGCAGAGGAAUUCUAAGUCAGAUCUGUGACUCUCAACACCUCAUGAUGCUGCCUUUUUGCAUAAUGAAUACAUUGCCACCGGGACAAGGCAGGUGUGAGUUGGAAGGCAUCUCUGCCCCUUCCAGAAAGGUGGCUCCUGUCGUGGUGCAGACAUGGUCAGAGAGCCCAGGGAAGACCACACACGAUGUGGCAGCAAGUCAGGUGAGUGUCCUGCAGAGACCCUAAGUACCCUGCAGACUUGUCCUAGGAUUCAGUGGGUCCAGAUGGGAAUAGAAAGAGUUAUACAUAUUAAAUCUAAUUAUUUGGAGGGGAAAGUAAUAUAUUUUGAUGGUGUAAAUUAGGUUCUGCUCUGUAGUUAACUCCAUAGUUUGGGUUGGUUUGAAACUUAUGGGAUUCCAGGACAGGCAGGUAAAUACAGUCACUUAAGACUUUGUUCUCCUUUGUCUCAGCCAUCCUCUCAAUUAAUCAAUACGUGCGUAGAAUACCCACUCCGUUUUCAGUCUUUUACUAGAUAUGGUGUGACUUUCAAGAAAUAUCAGGCAUGUUUCCUCUUUACCUCCUCCAAAUUUUACUCCUCUUCUCUUCUUUAUUCUUUCAUUUGGAAGGUCCUUGGAGAGCAGAAAACAUGAGCUCAAAGUUGCACUUGCAGCUCUGAGAGGCAGAGGAAGGAGGAUGGGGCCUCUUUGUUAUCAUUCAGAUUCCUGAGCCCUGAACAGAAAUAUAGCCCAUAUUUAUGGUCCCUACACCAUCAUUUCAGGGCUUUUGAGCAGGAGGACAAGCGUGGGUCUCCUGUGAAGGCAGGGGCUUAGAUACAGGUGGGCUUAGGAAGAGGGAGUUGAUAACAGGCUAAUAAUUAUUAGGGCUUAGGAUCCAUGCAAGUCCCUUAAGUGUAGGCACACAUCCAUGAGUACCCUGGUGGGGCUUAUUAAGGAUAAACUGGAAUAAAGUUGGGUUGGUAGACAAUGAAUCCUGACACAGAUUAGCAGUUAGCCAAGCUGAAGAGAAAGUAUAGAAUACUAGAAAACUUUACAAAAUUGUAUAAUAGUUGGGGUUGUGAAUUUAAACUUAUUUUUCUACUUUUGUGGGUUCUCCUCAUUAUAUACAAUGAGUGUUUAGGGUUUCUGAAAUCAGGGAAACACUUCAAAAACAA